AUUUGAGUACUAGUAUAUAUUUCCAUCCCCGCGAGCCCUCCUCAUUCAUUCCCGCCAGCCGUGACCUCAGAGUGACAUCGUGCCGUGAUCUACGUGUCCAGGAAUUCUUUGAAGCUAAACCAUGAAGCUGUUUGUCUGCAUGAUGCUGGUGACGAUGGUUGUCAUGGCAACGCUGAUCGACGACUCCGAGGGGUGGAGGCGUCGGCGCAGGCGCAGAAGGGGUCGUCUGGAUGUGGAUGCAGAUGCUGACUCAGAGUUGAGAGAGGUUGUGGAAGAGGCGAGGUCGCUCCUGGAGGAACUUGAUGAGGCCAGUGAACACUUGGAUACACAAGGACUAGAGAACGAGGAAGAGGAGAACAUACUCACGGAUCAGGAAGAAAGUCGAAAGAGAAGGACUCUCGAGCAAGGAAUUUAGUCAAGUUGAAACUGGCAUGGUUUAGAACGAAA